UGUACCGGUACAAGAUCCCGUGUACCGGUACAAGAGCGCGCAGGCAGCGGGUUAAGUUGCAAAAUCGGAUAAAUGGAGGACUUUUUAGCAUCUUGUUACAAUAGAGGACUUAACCCUCUCACCCUCAGCUCUCUCCUCUCUCACUCUCACAGCCCCCUCUCUCUCUCUAGCUCCCUCUCUCUCUCUAACCGGUUGAAGGAGAAAAGAAGGAGAAGAAGAAAAGAGGAAGAAAGAAGAAGAAGAGAAUAAGAGAAAGGAAGGAGAAGAUCAAGGAGAAGAUCAAGAAGCUCU
rnacentral:lncRNA from 1 species